rnacentral:lncRNA from 1 species
CAGCAAGACAGUUGUGUGUGUUUAUACAUAAAUGAAACAGACAUUAUAAGAGCGGGAUCAAUGUGCAAACAGAAUGAAACAGAGCAAUGUAAGAAAGACAAAUUCUUAUACUGCGCAAAUGCCAACAUUAGUCCUUAUGGUUUUAUUAUCUACAAAAAAGAUGGUAAGUUGUACCAAUAUACGUAGAAUAUAUAUAAUAAGCAUGUCUAACAGGGUACAACAACACCACAUCAAAAGCAAAAUCAUAGAAAAAAGUAUGAAUAUUUCGAAUAACUAAUAUCCCUCAUCAAUAUCUUGUCACGUGGUAGUCAUAUGCAAUAAUAAUCUUGAUUGUUAUUCAAAUUAUAACGAG